AGAGAGAGAGAGAGAGAGAGAGAAGUGAGGUGUAACUGAGAUUUGCAUUAACAGGACUGAAUAAUUUCAUUUCUCCCAAAAUAGCAAUUGCCAGUCCAUGCUUCAGUGCUCUGCGAGUGUUUAUAGCCCUGUGACUUUAACACUUCAUGACUGAGAGCUGCUGCUCAGCAACUUCACCCACAGCAACCAUGACUUUGAUCAGCGUCUUCAUCUGCACACUGGCCCUCUGGACUCAAGGAUCCAGAGGUCAGGUGACUGUGACUCAGACUCCUUCAGUGCAAACUGUUGAUCCAGGAAAAACAGUCACCUUCAACUGUAGAACCAGUAGCAGUGUGGCUGGUGGUAACCGUCUCGCCUGGUACCUGCAGAAACCUGGAGAAGCUCCUAAACUCCUGAUCUACUGGGCUACUAGCUUACAGUCAGGAACUCCAGCUCGUUUCAGUGGCAGUGGAUCUAAUACUGACUUCACUCUGACCAUCAGAGGAGUCCAGACUGAAGAUGCAGGAGAUUACUACUGUCAGAGUGGACAUAGUGGUCCUGUGUUCACACAGUGUUAG